CUCUUCAUGAUGAUUUAAACAGUUUGACUUUCGUUCUUCUGAGACUAAUGAAGCCAAACUCUGUUCUGAAAGAG